CUGCGGCCAUCAUUGGAGCUGUGGUGGCUGUUGUGAGGAGGAGGAGGAGGAGAAUCACAGGUGGAAAGGGAGGGAUCUAUACUCCAGCUACAGGCAGGGACAGUGCCCAGAGCUCUGAUGUGUCUCUCCCAGACUGUAAAGCGUGAAGACAGCUGCCUGGCCUGACAGAGUGACAGAGAUGUGCUCAGGUGUCUCCUGUGACGUUCAGAGCCCCUCAGUUCACUCUCAACAACAAAUCUGAUGUUCCCUGUGACCCUAGGGGCUCCAUGUGAAGACCUGGGAGCCCAGCCACUCCUGCACACCAGGACCCUGUCCCUGCACUGUUAUAUUCCCUUCCACAGCCAAACAUCCUGGUCCAGCAGACAGGAGGGGACAUCUGCAUCCUGUCACCUCCAUGCUGCCCUGAGCUGCAGCCCCUGUCUCCCCACUGAAAAUUAGAACCUGAAUGUCAACUUGACUGUUCAUGUCCUUGAUCUGACAGGUGGAUUGUUGGGUAAAUUACUUGAUUGAAAUACUUAGAGAUUUGGAGGAAAUAAAUGGCACCAUGGAGAACCUUCCA